rnacentral:lncRNA from 1 species
UCGCUAGACACGAGUUAAAGUCUACAAGAAAAGCAUCAGUGACGCUCGAAUGAAAAAAGUUAAAAGGCUAAAUACAUGUACAUUACAAAGUUAAGGAAUCUAUUCUUUGGGUAGACAAUCCUUAGCUUUUCGAACAGGUCAAAGUUUAUAAUAGAACAGUGACUCAAAAAAGAAAUAAAAUAGAAACAACUCGAGGUCAGAAUUCCGUUAGUAAUGAU